rnacentral:lncRNA from 1 species
GGUCUUGAACUCCUGACCUCAAAUGAUCCAACCGCCUUGGCCUCCCAAAGUGCUGGGAUUAUAGGCAUGAGCCACUGUGCCCAGCCCCAAAGUAGUGUUUCUAUGCAGGAAAUCCCUUCUGGAAUUUAUCAGGAAAUCUGUAUGUUCUUCUGAAUCCCAAAAUCGAUCAGUCAAGAAAUUGGGAAAAUGGGGAAAAGCAUUAUAAUUCUCCUGUGAGAAUUAAUGCUUAACAAUCAACAUAGAGGCAUUCCUGGCUUAAAGAAAUCCACUGAUGCCAAAUUGAAAGCAAGAGAAGGCAACGUUGACACACAGAGUCUAAAGUUAAGUAGUCAAAAUACUUUUUGUAGCUGUUGACACACUAAAAGUAUAUUUGUGGCUGUACCUGUUGUUAAGAGCGAGUCAUUCCCACAAAUAUUAAUGUUGACGUGCACUGUGUUUUAUACAAAUCCUACAAAUGAUGUUCUAAUAAAUAACAAGUUUUGGAAACACAUAAGUCCUUAAAUUGGCAAUUCUCUCCCUCU